rnacentral:rRNA from 1 species
CCUACGGGAGGCAGCAGUAGGGAAUUUUCCACAAUGGGCGAAAGCCUGAUGGAGCAAUACCGCGUGCAGGACGAAGGCCUUCGGGUCGUAAACUGCUUUUAUGUGCGAAGAAUUUGACGGUAACACAUGAAUAAGGAUCGGCUAACUACGUGCCAGCAGCCGCGGUCAUACGUAGGAUCCAAGCGUUAUCCGGAAUUACUGGGCGUAAAGAGUUGCGUAGGUGGCAUUAUAAGUGGAGCGUGAAAGCGUGCGGCUCAACCGCAUUAUUGCGUUCCAAACUGUGAAGCUUGAGUAUGGGAGAGGUAGAUGGAAUUUCUAGUGUAGGAGUGAAAUCCGUAGAUAUUAGAAGGAACACCGAUGGCGUAGGCAGUCUACUGGCCCAUUACUGACACUAAGGCACGAAAGCGUGGGGAGCAAACGGGAUUAGAUACCCCGGUAGUCCACGCUGUAAACUAUGGAUGCUAGCUGUGACACACAUCGACCUGUGUCGUAGCGAAGUUAACGCGUUAAGCANCCGCCGCGGGAGGUACGGUCGCGAGAUAAACUACUAAGUUAAGUUAGUAGUUCGUUGUGAGNGCGACGACGACGACGACGGAGGAGGAG